UACAGAGGGUGCGAGCGUUAAUCGGAAUUACUGGGCGUAAAGCGCGCGUAGGCGGUUUUGUAAGUCGGGUGUGAAAUCCCCAGGCUCAACCUGGGAACUGCAUUCGAGACUGCAUAGCUAGAGUAUGGGAGAGGGAAGUGGAAUUUCAGGUGUAGCGGUGAAAUGCGUAGAUAUCUGAAGGAACAUCAGUGGCGAAAGCGACUUCCUGGACCAAUACUGACGCUCAUGGUGCGAAAAGCGUGGGGGAGCAAACAGG
rnacentral:rRNA from 1 species